rnacentral:rRNA from 1 species
GCAUAUCAAUAAGCGGAGGAAAAGAAACCAACAGGGAUUGCCUUAGUAACGGCGAGUGAAGCGGCAACAGCUCAAAUUUGAAAGCUGGCUCCUUUGGAGUCCGCGUUGUAAUUUGUAGAGGAUGAUUCGGCAAGGGCUCCCGCCUAAGUCUCCUGGAACGGAGCGUCAUAGAGGGUGAGAAUCCCGUAUGCGGUGGGCUGCCUAAGCCAUGUGAAUCUCCUUCGACGAGUCGAGUUGUUUGGGAAUGCAGCUCUAAAUGGGAGGUAAAUUUCUUCUAAAGCUAAAUACCGGCCAGAGACCGAUAGCGCACAAGUAGAGUGAUCGAAAGAUGAAAAGCACUUUGGAAAGAGAGUUAAAAAGUACGUGAAAUUGUUGAAAGGGAAGCGCUUGCAGCCAGACUUGUCCGCAGUUGCUCACCCGGUCUCCUGACCGGUGUACUCUUCUGCGGCCAGGCCAGCAUCAGUUCGGGCGGUCGGAUAAAGACCUCGGGAAUGUAGCUCCUCUCGGGGAGUGUUAUAGCCCGGGGUGGAAUGCGGCCAGCCUGGACUGAGGAUCUCGCUUCGGCUAGGAUGCUGGCGUAAUGGCUGUAAGCGGCCCGUCUUGAAACACGGACC